UACAGAGGUCUCGAGCGUUAGGCGGAAUCACUGGGCGUAAAGCGCACGUAGGCGGAUGUGUCAGUCAGAGGUGAAAUCCCCGGAGCUCAACUUCGGAACUGCCUUUUGAUACAGCACGUCUUGAGUCCGAUAGAGGUGGGUGGAAUUCCUAGUUGUAGAGGUGAAAUUCGUAGAUAUUCGGAGAACACCAGUGGCGAAGGCGACUUACCUGGACACAUAUUGACGCUGGAGGUG
rnacentral:rRNA from 1 species